UACGUAGGGCGCAAGCGUUGUCCGGAUUUACUGGGCGUAAAGAGCGCGUAGGCGGAACGUUAAGUCCGAUCUGAAAGCCCCCGGCUCAACCGGGGAGGGUGGUUGGAAACUGGCGUUCUUGAGGGCGAUAGAGGAAGGUGGAAUUCCUGGUGUAGCGGUGAAAUGCGUAGAGAUCAGGAGGAACACCAGUGGCGAAGGCGGCCUUCUGGGUCGACCCUGACGCUGAGGCGCGAAAGCGUGGGGAGCGAACGGG
rnacentral:rRNA from 1 species